AAUCCCAGCACUUUGGGAAGAGUGAAGUGGAGGAAGAGGUACAUUCAACUACAGAGGAGGAAACUGAGGCCCAGAGGGGAAAAGUGACUUGAUUGACAAAAAUUGGAUUCUGGUCUUUGUUCUGCCAAAGCCACUAAAUCUGUGUUGCUGAGUCUGCUGUUUGCAUGCAGGAAUGUGAAGGACUGCUCAAGUUGGAGAUACAAAUUGAA
rnacentral:lncRNA from 10 species